rnacentral:rRNA from 1 species
ACCUUCUGGCCUCUUGCCAUCACAUGUGCCCAAAUGGGAUUAUCUAGUAGGUGGGGUAAUGGCUCACCUAGGCGACGAUCCCUAUCUGGUCUGAGAGGAUGACCAGCCACACUGAAACUGAGACCCGAUCCAUACUCCUACGGGAGGCAGCAAUGGGGAAUAUUGCACAAUGGGCGCGAGCCUGAUGCACCCCUGCCGCGUGUGUGAACAACGCCUUCGGGUUGUAAAGCACUUUCAACGAGGAGGAAGGUGGUGAGCUUAAUACGCUCAUCAAUUGACGUUACUCGCAGAACAAGCACCGGCUAACUCCGUGCCCGCAGCCGCGGUAAUACGGAGGGUGCAAGCGUUAAUCGGAGUUACUGGGCGUAGAGCGCACGCAGGCGGUUUGUUAAUUCAAAUGUGAAAUCCCCGGGCUCAACCUGGGAACUGCAUUUGAAACUGGCAAGCUAGAGUCACGUAGAGGGAGGUAGAAUUCCAGGUGUAACGUUGAAAUGCGUACAGAUCUGGAGGAAUACCGGUGGCGAACGCGGCCCCCUGGAC